UACGUAGGGUGCGAGCGUUGUCCGGAAUUAUUGGGCGUAAAGAGCUUGUAGGCGGUCUGUCGCGUCUGCUGUGAAAAUCCGGGGCUCAACCCCGGACUUGCAGUGGGUACGGGCAGACUAGAGUGUGGUAGGGGAGACUGGAAUUCCUGGUGUAGCGGUGAAAUGCGCAGAUAUCUGCAGGAACACCCGUGGCGAAAGCGGCGCGCUGGACCACUACUGACGCUGAGGAACGAAAGCUAGGGGAGCAAACAGG
rnacentral:rRNA from 1 species